rnacentral:tRNA from 1 species
AGGACAGUAGUCAAAUAUGAUACCUGAUUUGCAUUUAGGAGGUGUUAUAAAAAUAACCUGUCUUA